CCAAUAGCGUAUAUUAAAGUUGUUGCAGUUAAAAAGCUCGUAGUUGAAUUUCGGGAUUGGCGCAUCGGUCGUGCCUCACGGGGUAUGAACUGGUGCAGUCAAUUUCUCACCUUCUGGAGAACCGCGAUGUCCUUAAUUGGAUGCCGCGGGGAACCAGGACCUUUACUUUGAAAAAAUUAGAGUGUUUAAAGCAGGCAUUUUUGCUUGAAUACAUUAGCAUGGAAUAAUAAAAUAGGACGGCAUGGUUCUAUUUUGUUGGUUUCUAGGACCACCGUAAUGAUUAAUAGGGAUAGUUGGGGGCAUUAGUAUUCAAUUGUCAGAGGUGAAAUUCUUGGAUUUAUUGAAGACUACCUACUGCGAAAGCAUUUGCCAAGGAUGUUUUCAUUAAUCAAGAACGAAAGUUAGGGGAUCGAAGACGAUCAGAUACCGUCGUAGUCUUAACCAUAAACUAUGCCGACUAGGAAUCAGACGAUGUUAAUUUUUUAAUGACUCGUUUGGCACCUUACG
rnacentral:rRNA from 1 species